rnacentral:rRNA from 1 species
CCAGACUCCUACGGGAGGCAGCAGUGAGGAAUAUUGGUCAAUGGGCGCGAGCCUGAACCAGCCAAGUCGCGUGAGGGAAGACGGUCCUAUGGAUUGUAAACCUCUUUUGUCGGGGAGCAAAAGACGCCACGUGUGGCGUUCCGAGAGUACCCGAAGAAAAAGCAUCGGCUAACUCCGUGCCAGCAGCCGCGGUAAUACGGAGGAUGCGAGCGUUAUCCGGAUUUAUUGGGUUUAAAGGGUGCGCAGGCGGCGAGUUAAGUCAGCGGUAAAAUUUGGGGGCUCAACCCCGACAAGCCGUUGAAACUGGCUUGCUAGAGUGGGCGAGAAGUAUGCGGAAUGUGUGGUGUAGCGGUGAAAUGCAUAGAUAUCACGCAGAACUCCGAUUGCGAAGGCAGCAUACCGGCGCCCAACUGACGCUCAGGCACGAAAGCGUGGGUAUCGAACAGGAUUAGAUACCCCAGUA